GCAGAGCACUGUGUGACACCCCUGGCCACGGAUGGUCUCCAGGGAGCACAGGUGGUGUCACCAUGGCACACUGAUGUCUGUGUCUCUUCAGUGGCAGCUGACAUAACAGGUUAAACCGCACAGUUGAAAGAGAAGGGUCUAAGAAAGGGCACAUCCACCAGUAGGAGGAACUGUGCUGUCACUCAAGUACUUGAGAAGAAAUUGCUGUGAUGUAUGGUCCCAUCCAACCAAACACAUUUGUGCCAAUGAUCCUGUUAUGGGGAAGAAGGCCCAGAGUAUCCAGAAGAGUACUGACCUCACAGUCAGAACACUGAGCAUCAGUGCACCAGAGGGCUGCCUCACGGUAGAACAUGAGCAGGUAAUGCACAAGGAGCACCACUGGGAAUCAUGUCAGACGAGUCAAUCUCAGGGAGUGAUCCGGACCUGGACCCGGACUUGGAGCAGGAGGAUAUGGAAGAGGAGGAGGAGGAAGAUGAGGAGGAGGCGAUGGAGGAGGACAAUGAUGGGGAUGAUGAGGAAGACUUACUUGAUGAAAGUGGACCCUGCAGCCAGUGGAGUAGGAGGAAGUGUGACGUGGUUGCCAAACUUUCAUUAA
rnacentral:lncRNA from 1 species